rnacentral:rRNA from 1 species
UACGGAGGGUGCAAACGUUGCUCGGAAUCAUUGGGCGUAAAGCGCACGUAGGCGGUGCAGUAAGUCGGAUGUGAAAGCCCUCGGCUCAACCGAGGAAGUGCAUUCGAAACUGCUGUGCUUGAGUACGGAAGAGGGUCUCGGAAUUCCCGGUGUAGAGGUGAAAUUCGUAGAUAUCGGGAGGAACACCAGUGGCGAAGGCGGAGACCUGGGCCGAUACUGACGAUGAGGUGCGAAAGCGUGGGGAGCAAACAGG